rnacentral:rRNA from 1 species
CAGGCCUAACACAUGCAAGUCGUACGAUCCUUAAGUGGCUUGCCAUUUAAGGAGAGUGGCGAACGGGUGAGUAACACGUGAGUAAUCUGCCCCCGAGUGAGGAAUAACUCCGCGAAAGCGGGGCUAAUACCGCAUAACACUCUGAAGCACACGCUUUCAGAGUCAAAGCCUUCGGGUGCUUGGGGAUGAGCUCGCGGCCUAUUAGCUUGUUGGUGGGGUAAUGGCCCACCAAGGUAAUGAUGGGUAGCCGGCCUGAGAGGGUGUACGGCCACACUGGAACUGCGACACGGUCCAGACUCCUACGGGAGGCAGCAGUGGGGAAUUUUGCGCAAUGGGCGAAAGCCUGACGCAGCGACGCCGCGUGGAGGAAUAAGGCCUUCGGGUUGUAAACUCCUGUCAGAGGUGAAGAAUGCCCUUCGGGGUUUGACGGUAACCUCAGAGGAAGCCCCGGCUAACUACGUGCCAGCAGCCGCGGUAAU